rnacentral:misc_RNA from 1 species
GAUGAAGAACGCAGUGAAAUGCGAUAAGUAGUGUGAAUUGCAGAAUUCAGUGAAUCAUCGAAUCUUUGAACGCACAUUGCGCCCCUUGGUAUUCCGAGGGGCAUGCCUGUUCGAGCGUCAUUAUAACCCCUCAAGCUUAGCUUGGUGUUGGGGCCUGCUGUAAUAGAGCAGCCCUUAAAAUCAGUGGCGGUGCCAUUAGGCUCUAAGCGUAGUAAUUCUUCUCGCUAUAGGGUUCUGGUGGAUGCUUGCCAUUAACCUCUAAUUUUCUAUGGUUGACCUCGGAUCAGGUAGGGAUACCCGCUGAACUUAAGCAUAUCAAUAAGCGGAGGA